ACCUUUCAAACCCUAGAUGUGGGUUCGUCUACAACAUGAGGGUUCUGGGGGACUGAGGCAGACGAGCUCCUGGAAUCGCUAGAGACGGAGGUGCCAGAAGACAUUUCAAGCAAGAACCCUAAAAAUACCGAAGAGAUUUGGCGGAAUAAGAGCCGAAAGGUUCGUGGGGGACCUAACAAGAAGAAUGCAGCAGAAGAAAAAUGGAGGAGAAGGGGCACCUAGAUGGCAAGAGAAGGAAUGAAAGUUCCGAGACUAACCUAAGUCGCUCCGAAGGAUGCAGAGGUGCAGGGACAGGGAUGACUCGAAGAACACCUAGGGCCAAAGCGGACACCA
rnacentral:lncRNA from 1 species